rnacentral:rRNA from 1 species
AUACGUAGGGUGCGAGCGUUGUCCGGAAUUACUGGGCGUAAAGAGCUCGUAGGUGGUUUGUCGCGUCGUCUGUGAAAUUCCGGGGCUUAACUCCGGGCGUGCAGGCGAUACGGGCAUAACUUGAGUACUGUAGGGGAGACUGGAAUUCCUGGUGUAGCGGUGAAAUGCGCAGAUAUCAGGAGGAACACCGGUGGCGAAGGCGGGUCUCUGGGCAGCAACUGACGCUGAGGAGCGAAAGCAUGGGUAGCGAACAGGAUUAGAUACCCUGGUAGUCCAUGCCGUAAACGGUGGGCGCUAGGUGUAGGGGUCUUCCACGACUUCUGUGCCGUAGCUAACGCAUUAAGCGCCCCGCCUGGGGAGUACGGCCGCAAGGCUAAAACUCAAAGGAAUUGACGGGG